UACGUCGGGUGCAAGCGUGACUCGGCCUCACUGGGCGUAAAGGAUGCGUAGGCUGGAAAUCAAGUCGAGAGUGAAAUCCAACGGCUCAACCGUUGAACUGCUCUCGAAACUGGUUACCUAGAAUAUGGGAGAGGUAGAUGGAAUUAGUGGUGUAGGGGUAAAAUCCGUAGAUAUCACUAGGAAUACCGAUUGCGAAGGCGAUCUACUGGAACAUUAUUGACGCUGAGGCAUGAAAGCGUGGGGAGAACACAGGAGGAGAUACCCGUGUAGUCC
rnacentral:rRNA from 1 species